rnacentral:pre_miRNA from 1 species
GAGUCUAAACCAAAGAAUCAUGAUUUUAGAGGGACCUAAGACCAUGAUAAAAAUUGGUUUUAAGCUCCUUUAGAAUCAUGGUUCUUUGUUUUAGGUC